rnacentral:rRNA from 1 species
UACGGGAGGUGCAAGCGUUAAUCGGAGUUACUGGGCGUAAAGGGUGCGUAGGUGGUGUAGAAAGUCAGAUGUGAAAUCCCCGGGCUUAACCUGGGAACUGCAUUUGAAACUUCUAUACUAGAGUACGAUAGAGGAAAGCAGAAUUUCGGGUGUAGUAGUGAAAUACGCAGAUAUCCGAAGGAAUACCAAUGGCGAAGGCAGCUUUCUGGGUCGAUACUGACACUGAGGCACGAAAGCGUGGGGAGCAAACAGG